rnacentral:rRNA from 1 species
AUCUGCCAAAUGAACACUGCAGUUCUUGCCUGGUUUCCCACUGAAGCUAAGCAGGAUUGAGUUUGGCCAGUACCUGGAUGGGAGACCUCCUGGGGAAAAACUAAGGUUGGCUGAUG